CGCGAGAUCUUUUCGUAGCCGGGUCUUUCCCGCUGUGGAACCCCAUGGCCUUCACUGGUUGUGGCGGGGAAACAGGACUUUUACUUUGAAAAAAUUAGAGUGCUCCAGGCAGGCCUAUGCUCGAAUACAUUAGCAUGGAAUAAUAGAAUAGGACGCGUGGUUCUAUUUUGUUGGUUUCUAGGACCGCCGUAAUGAUUAAUAGGGACAGUCGGGGGCAUCAGUAUUCAAUUGUCAGAGGUGAAAUUCUUGGAUCUAUUGAAGACUAACUACUGCGAAAGCAUUUGCCAAGGAUGUUUUCAUUGAUAAGGAACGAAAGUUAGGGGAUCGAAGACGAUCAGAUACCGUCGUAGUCUUAACUAUAAACUAUGCCGACUAGGGAUCGGACGAUGUUAUCUUUUGACUCGUUCGGCACCUUUCGAGAAAUCAAAGUGCUUGGGCUCCAGGGGGAGUAUGGUCGCAAGGCUGAAACUUAAAGAAAUUGACGGAAGGGCACCACCAGGGGUGGAACCUGCGGCUUAAUUUGACUCAACACGGGGAAACUCACCAGGUCCAGACACAGUGAGGAUUGACAGAUUGAUAGCUCUUUCUUGAUUCUGUGGGUGGUGGUGCAUGGCCGUUCUUAGUUGGUGGAGUGAUUUGUCUGCUUAAUUGCGAUAACGAACGAGACCUCAACCUCCUAAAUAGCCCCCAUUGCUUCGGCAGUAAGCUGGCUUCUUAGAGGGACUAUCGG
rnacentral:rRNA from 1 species